GAUGAACGCUGGCGGCGUGCCUAAUACAUGCAAGUCGAGCGAUGCGGGGACGGGUGAGUAACACGUGGAUUCCCUCCUCUAUGACUGGCAUAACUUCGGGACACCUGCGCUAAUCCGGAUACUUAUUGUUGGAUCCGCGCUGCAUUAGCUAUUUGGUAGGGUAAUGGCUUACAAAGUCAACGAUCCAUAGCCGACCUGAGAGGAGGAGAGGCCAAACUGGAACUGGGACAGGGUCAAGACUCCUACGGGAGGCAGCAGUAGGGAAUCUUCCGCAAUGGGCGAAAGCCUGACGGAGCAACGCCGCGUGAGUGAUGAAGGCCUUCGGAUCGUAAAGCUCUGUUAUUAGGGAGGCGGUACCUAAUCAGAAAGCCACGGCUAACUACGUGCCAGCAGCCGCGGUAAUAC
rnacentral:rRNA from 1 species